rnacentral:lncRNA from 1 species
AACCAAUGUAGAAAAGUAAACGCAUAACAAUACGCACAUUAAAAUUCAGUUCAAGAGAAGUCCGAGUCUGAUGUCAGAAGAUGUAACCAAAGAAAAUAAACAAAAUGACAAUAAUACAUAAAUAACAACAGACUACUAGCAGUUAACUGACAUGCCAGCUUCAGACUUCAAUUAAACUGACUGAAAGAUUAUGAUUUCAUCAUAUGAACAUCAGGCACA